rnacentral:tRNA from 1 species
CCCUGGUUGGUAUAAAGAAUUAACACACUCAGCUGAUGACUGAAAGUUUGGAGGUUCGAAUCCACCAGGGG